rnacentral:rRNA from 1 species
UAGGGAAUCUUCCGCAAUGGACGCAAGUCUGACGGAGCAACGCCGCGUGAGUGAAGAAGGAUUUCGGUUCGUAAAACUCUGUUGUUAGAGAAGAACAGCGCAUAGAGUAACUGUUAUGCGUGUGACGGUAUCUAACCAGAAAGCCACGGCUAACUACGUGCCAGCAGCCGCGGUAAUACGUAGGUGGCAAGCGUUGUCCGGAUUUAUUGGGCGUAAAGCGAGCGCAGGCGGUCAAUUAAGUCUGAUGUGAAAGCCCCCGGCUCAACCGGGGAGGGUCAUUGGAAACUGGUUGACUUGAGUGCAGAAGAGGAGAGUUGAAUUCCAUGUGUAGCGGUGAAAUGCGUAGAUAUAUGGAGGAACACCAGUGGCGAAGGCGACUCUCUGGUCUGUAACUGACGCGGAGGCUCGAAAGCGUGGGUAGCAAACAGG